GGAUGAUCAGCCACACUGGAACUGAGACACGGUCCAGACUCCUACGGGAGGCAGCAGUGGGGAAUAUUGGACAAUGGGCGCAAGCCUGAUCCAGCAAUGCCGCGUGUGUGAAGAAGGCCUUCGGGUUGUAAAGCACUUUUAUCGGGAACGAAAUACCACGGGUUAAUAACCUAUGGGGCUGACGGUACCCGAGGAAUAAGCACCGGCUAGCUUCGUGCCAGCAGCCGCGGUAAUACGAAGGGUGCAAGCGUUAAUCGGAAUUACUGGGCGUAAAGGGUGCGUAGGCGGUUGUUUAAGUCUGUUGUGAAAUCCCCGGGCUCAACCUGGGAAUGGCAAUGGAUACUGGACAGCUAGAGUGUGUCAGAGGAUGGUGGAAUUUCCGGUGUAGCGGUGAAAUGCGUAGAGACCGGAAGGAACAUCAGUGGCGAAGGCGGCCAUCUGGGACAACACUGACGCUGAAGCACGAAAGCGUGGGGAGCAAACAGGAUUAGAUACCCUGGUAGUCCACGCCCUAAACGAUGCGAACUGGAUGUUGGUCUCAACUCGGAGAUCAGUGUCGAAGCUAACGCGUUAAGUUCGCCGCCUGGGGAGUACGGUCGCAAGACUGAAACUCAAAGGAAUUGACGGGGGCCCGCACAAGCGGUGGAGUAUGUGGUUUAAUUCGAUGCAACGCGAAGAACCUUACCUGGCCUUGACAUGUCCGGAAUCCUGCAGAGACGCGGGAGUGCCUUCGGGAAUCGGAACACAGGUGCUGCAUGGCUGUCGUCAGCUCGUGUCGUGAGAUGUUGGGUUAAGUCCCGCAACGAGCGCAACCCUUGUCCUUAGUUGCCAGCACGUAAUGGUGGGAACUCUAAGGAGACUGCCGGUGACAAACCGGAGGAAGGUGGGGAUGACGUCAAGUCCUCAUGGCCCUUACGGCCAGGGCUACACACGUACUACAAUGGUCGGUACAGAGGGUUGCAAUACCGCGAGGUGGAGCCAAUCCCAGAAAGCCGAUCCCAGUCCGGAUCGAAGUCUGCAACUCGACUUCGUGAAGUCGGAAUCGCUAGUAAUCGCGGAUCAGCUAUGCCGCGGUGAAUACGUUCCCGGGCCUUGUACACACCGCCCGUCACACCAUGGGAGUGAGUUGCUCCAGAAGCCGUUAGUCUAACCGCAAGGGGGACGACGACCACGGAGUGGUUCAUGACUGGGGUGAAGUCGUAACAAGGUA
rnacentral:rRNA from 1 species